rnacentral:rRNA from 1 species
UUCACGGAGAGUUUGAUCCUGGCUCAGGACGAACGCUGGCGGCGUGCUUAACACAUGCAAGUGGAGCGACGAACCAGGCUUCGGCCUGGGGCAGAGCCGCGAACGGGUGAGUAACACGUGGGUAAC